rnacentral:misc_RNA from 1 species
UCAGACUGCAACUAUUCUAAUGGCAGUGUUUGUCUUAGAGAGUCUUCUACUUGCAGGGGAGCUUCAUCAGGCAUACGAAUCAGCGGCAAAAGAUGUGUUGAUCAGGAAAAUGGGAAAUGGAUUCCUGAUAGGACAUCAGAAUUAAGCUCAAACCAUAAUGAAACACAACCUAGAAACAGUGGUUCCUUGUUGGAGGAGGAUCUUUCGGAAUCUGUAUCUAUGAGCCAACACAAGGAUGAAAGGCAUGAUGAUGUGAAUGGAGAAGAUGGUGAGAAUGUGGAGCGCUGUGUUGAGAACUGUAUUACCACCGAAAGAGAAAGGUUCAAGGAAACCUCCGAAUACAAAAAGGCACUAGAGGAAGAACUGGCAUCCAGGCAAAGAGCAUUGGCGAUUCAGGCACAAGAAGCCAAGAAAAUGAAGCUGCUGCUGAAAAGAAAGAAGGCUGAAAGUAUGCGUUUAUUAGAAAUGGAAAAGAGACAAAAGCAGCGCGUGGAGGAAAUCAGAGAAACUCAAAAGAAGGACGUAGAGAAUAUGAACCUGAAGGAGCAGAUACGAGCUGAAGUUCGAAUGGAACUCAGUAAGCUUGAAAUAACAUGCCAUGAUAUGGCUUCGGUGUUGAGCGGAUUGGGGAUCACUGUUGGCGCUGGCACUAGUCAUGAGGUGCGUG